rnacentral:lncRNA from 1 species
GGCCACUCUCACAGUCACUCAUAAAAAGUGAAAGCCGUGGAGAUGGGGCUCAUGAAGAGAUGCUGUUGUAGGGGUCUGAGUCUGGAGGCUGGGACCCCAGACCCUGUGCUUUAAGGGAGGAGGAUGACUCAUCAAAGAGGAAGAAAAGGAAAGGCAGUCAUCUUCAAUGUCAUCUCCAUACCAGCGCAUCUGGUCCUUUGGAUCUAUGUGUCAAUAAAGACAUCUUUUGUGCUUGAAAAAAAUGAAUUAUUUUCUUGAAUUCUAACUCAAAAUCUAUAAAAGGUAAAAUUAUUGGUGUUCUAUGAAGUAAUUUAUUGAUAAUUUUCCAUUGCUCCUGAAGAAGUAAAUAUAUAUAUAUAUUUCUGCUUCCAUAAUUCUUAAUUUAUAUGAACAUUAUUAAAAUUAUGGUGUUAUCUUCCAGAAACUUUGUAUUUUUGUUUUUAUUAAAAUAGCAAAUACUGUGAAGCAAAACCUAUGUAUUUUACUUUUUAACUAAGUUUACCAAAAGCAUCUCUAUUUUCACUUUCAACUGAAUGGACUUUGAAAAGCUUUGCUUUUUUCCCAAAGAUUAGGUAAAAAACUCAAACUCUAAUUUAAGAGUUGAACCUCAGUGUCUUUCUGUUUG